GAGGCAGAGAGGUAAGGUUUACUACAGUCUCUCUGAUAUAUCUGAUUAAAACAUGUUUUAUGUCAUAUACUCUGUUAAAUAAUGCUUGAAUAAACAUUUAUAACGUGAGUAUCUGCAUGACCUGUGUGUUUCACUGGAUUGGAAGUUUUAAACAAGGUAAAGAUUUUUAAAGUAGGACUGGAAAACAGAUCCCAACAAGACUCCUACUAUUGAUCUGAUUGAUGUGAUCUGCUGUUCCAUUGUGGAGAAGCUGCUCAGUAUUACAGGAUUCACAGCUAUUAUUAUGGAUCCUGGUAUAGAAAUGAUUUUCAGGCUCUGUGAUCAGUGCACUCAAAGAGUUUUAGUCCCAAAUCCUCAUUUUCACUCUUCAUUUAUGGACAGAGUUCAUUUGGAGCAAACAGAACAAAGUGAUUAUUGUUCCAUUGUUAUAUGGAUAGUAGACUGUUGUGGCUUCCUGAUGGGAAAUGAUGGUUUGGAUGAAGCUCUCAUAAUUGUGAACAUUUGUGAUAUUUGUCCAAAGCUCAAAGUUCUUUAAUGAUCACAGCUUUUUGUCCUUCAGCUGCUCCUGUAACUUUGAUCUUGCACUUUGAUCCAUGUUGAUUGAAUGUGGUUUUGUCUCCUUAGUAUUGGUGCUUGUGGUGUUGUGUCUGCAUGUUUCUUUGUCAGAGGCUCAUUUGUGUCUGCAUUGGUUCCUUUCAGCUUCUUUCUUUGUCUUGGAAGCUCCUUUUUUGCUUCCUGACAUCUUUGAGCUGCUUGACUUUGUCACACAGCUUGUGUUUAAGGGCCUUCGUGAUUGAGCAGCUCUGCAGUAAUCAGGCCUGAGUGUGGCAGUGAGACUGAAGUCAGCUUUCCAACAAUCUGCUUCAUCACAGUUCAUUGAUCAUUGAAGACGAGGGGAAAUGAGUUUUUCCCACAGGGCAGUUGCUGCUGUUGCAGAGAAUUUCCAGCCCACGAGGUUUCUGAGCGCAGCGGAGUCACGUGACUGCGAAGCAACAAACCACAGCAGAGCAAGAAGGAGGGGGCGGAGCAAAGUGCGGCUGCGUGUUGGAGGAGCAAAGAGCGAGCUGCUUUUUCCUGAAGAAGUGAACUUAGAGGAGAAACAAACUAAAGCAUCGAUCCAACAUCACUACCAACGUUUGUAUCGAUACUAUUGAUACUUGGAUCGAUCCGCGCACCCUGAUCUCCUGGAUCUGACCUGAGAACAGCGUUAAUCUCUGUCUGUGGGCUCAGCUAAAGCUGAUUAUCAGGAGGAGGAGAGUCUGACGGAGCAGCAGAGGAACAUUUUCAGCCUCU